rnacentral:rRNA from 1 species
UGGGGAAUUUUGGACAAUGGGCGCAAGCCUGAUCCAGCCAUGCCGCGUGCGGGAAGAAGGCCUUCGGGUUGUAAACCGCUUUUGUCAGGGAAGAAAUCUUCUGAGUUAAUACCUCGGGAGGAUGACGGUACCUGAAGAAUAAGCACCGGCUAACUACGUGCCAGCAGCCGCGGUAAUACGUAGGGUGCAAGCGUUAAUCGGAAUUACUGGGCGCAAAGCGUGCGCAGGCGGUUUUGUAAGACAGAGGUGAAAUCCCCGGGCUCAACCUGGGAACUGCCUUUGUGACUGCAAGGCUUGAGUGCGGCAGAGGGGGAUGGAAUUCCGCGUGUAGCAGUGAAAUGCGUAGAUAUGCGGAGGAACACCGAUGGCGAAGGCAAUCCCCUGGGCCUGCACUGACGCUCAUGCACGAAAGCGUGGGGAGCAAACAGGAUUAGAUACCCUGGUAGUCCACGCCCUAAAACGAUGUCAACUGGUUGUUGGGAAGGUUCCUUCUCAGUAACGUAGCUAACGCGUGAAGUUGACCGCCUGGGGAGUACGGCCGCAAGGUUGAGACUUAAAGGAAUUGAC